rnacentral:rRNA from 1 species
GACGAACGCUGGCGGCGUGCUUAACACAUGCAAGUCGAACGGCAAGGCCCUGCGUUUGUGGUGUGCUCGAGUGGCGAACGCGUGAGUAACACGAGUGUAACCUGCCCUUGUCUUUGGGGUAACUUCAGGAAACUGGGGUUACUAUCGUAUAGCAGACCCUGUUGCAUUGUGGGGGUUGGAAAGUCUAGGCGGUAGCGGUUGGACUGGCGGCUUAUCAGCUUGCUGGUGGGGUAGUUGCUUACCAAGGCAUUGACGGAUAGGCGGCCUGGGAGGGUGGCCGGGCACAAUGGGACUGAGAUACGGACCAGACUCCUACGGGGGGCAGCAGUCGGGAAUAUGGCACAAUGGGCGGGAGCCGGAUGCAGCAACGCUGCGUGCGGGAUGACGGCCUUCGGGUUGUAAACCGCUUUCGCCUGUGACGAAGCGUGAGUGACGGUAAUGGGUAAAGAAGCACCGGCUAACUACGUG